AAAUUCUCUUCGAAUAUCUUUUUGCGUUUCUCUAACUCGGAACUAUUUGUGUAUGUGCGUCCAUAUUUCGUCAUCCAUUGUUGAUGUGAUUCAACAACAGAUGAUUCAGACAUUGUUCGAGUCAUUGUUGUGUAUGCACAUGCCCACAAGAUGAUGCAAAUAGCAAUAAGAAACUUCAUUUUUUUUUAUGGACAAGGAUAUGAAGAAAAGUAACAGAGAUCCCGUUAUUUAUACAUGAGUAUGUGGUUCGAUCAACUGAUCACACGUUGACUACUUGUUUAAGGUUGACUUGUAAAAUUACUAAUAUCACCUUCUCUCUGCAGCAACUUGCAUGUUUCAUCCAAGUAAUUAUAAG
rnacentral:lncRNA from 1 species